GGAUCCAGACUUUGACAUGGCUCAGGACGAACGCUGGCGGCGCGCCUAACACAUGCAAGUCGAACGAGCGAGAGAGAGCUUGCUUUCUUGAGCGAGUGGCGAACGGGUGAGUAACGCGUGAGGAACCUGCCUCAAAGAGGGGGACAACAGUUGGAAACGACUGCUAAUACCGCAUAAGCCCACGACCCGGCAUCGGGUAGAGGGAAAAGGAGCAAUCCGCUUUGAGAUGGCCUCGCGUCCGAUUAGCUAGUUGGUGAGGUAACGGCCCACCAAGGCGACGAUCGGUAGCCGGACUGAGAGGUUGAACGGCCACAUUGGGACUGAGACACGGCCCAGACUCCUACGGGAGGCAGCAGUGGGGAAUAUUGCACAAUGGGGGAAACCCUGAUGCAGCGACGCCGCGUGGAGGAAGAAGGUCUUCGGAUUGUAAACUCCUGUUGUUGAGGAAGAUAAUGACGGUACUCAACAAGGAAGUGACGGCUAACUACGUGCCAGCAGCCGCGGUAAAACGUAGGUCACAAGCGUUGUCCGGAAUUACUGGGUGUAAAGGGAGCGCAGGCGGGAAGACAAGUUGGAAGUGAAAUCCAUGGGCUCAACCCAUGAACUGCUUUCAAAACUGUUUUUCUUGAGUAGUGCAGAGGUAGGCGGAAUUCCCGGUGUAGCGGUGGAAUGCGUAGAUAUCGGGAGGAACACCAGUGGCGAAGGCGGCCUACUGGGCACCAACUGACGCUGAGGCUCGAAAGUGUGGGUAGCAAACAGGAUUAGAUACCCUGGUAGUCCACACUGUAAACGAUGAUUACUAGGUGUUGGAGGAUUGACCCCUUCAGUGCCGCAGUUAACACAAUAAGUAAUCCACCUGGGGAGUACGACCGCAAGGUUGCAACUCAAAUGAAUUGACGG
rnacentral:rRNA from 1 species